rnacentral:misc_RNA from 1 species
GAAAUGCGAUAAGUAAUGUGAAUUGCAGAAUUCAGUGAAUCAUCGAAUCUUUGAACGCACCUUGCGCUCCUUGGUAUUCCUUGGAGCAUGCCUGUUUGAGUAUCAUGAAAUCUUCAAAGUAAAUCUUUUGUUAACUCAAUUGGUUUCUACUUUGGUAUUGGAGGUCUUUGCAGCUUCACACCUGCUCCUCUUUGUUCAUUAGCUGGAUCUCAGUGUUAUGCUUGGUUCCACUCGGCGUGAUAAGUUAUCUAUCGCUGAGGACACUGUAAAAGGUGGCCAAGGUAAAUGCAGAUGAACCGCUUCUAAUAGUCCAUUGACUUGGACAAUACUUUUAUGAUCUGAUCUCAAAUCAGGUAGGACUACCCGCUGAACUUAUGC